rnacentral:rRNA from 1 species
CGAUCGAGGACUUAACCAAAAACGAAAAGCGGAGGCGGCUUGAUCAGCCCCGACAAGCAUAAGACAAGCGCUGCAGGAAGGUGAAUUUCCUUCAGGAAGUGAUUGGCUUAUGACCUCGAGGGGCUAGCCGCCGGAGCUGGACAACGCAUUGGUGAAUACUCGGCAACACUUCUUCAUGCAUUAUCUAGUUUUGAAGGAAUGAAUUUUCUUCAAACCAAAUAGUCUGGUGGCGAUAGCGAGAAGGUCACACCCGUUCCCAUACCGAACACGGAAGUUAAGCUUCUCAGCGCCGAUGGUAGUUGGGGGCUGUCCCCCUGUGAGAGUAGGACGCUGCCGGGC